GACGAACGCUGGCGGCGUGCUUAACACAUGCAAGUCGUACGGUAAGGCCCUUUCGGGGGUACACGAGUGGCGAACGGGUGAGUAACACGUGAGUAACCUGCCCACAACUUUGGGAUAACGCUAGGAAACUGGUGCUAAUACUGGAUAUGUGCUCCUGCUGCAUGGUGGGGGUUGGAAAGCUCCGGCGGUUGUGGAUGGACUCGCGGCCUAUCAGCUUGUUGGUGGGGUAGUGGCCUACCAAGGCGGCGACGGGUAGCCGGCCUGAGAGGGUGACCGGCCACAUUGGGGCUGAGAUACGGCCCAGACUCCUACGGGAGGCAGCAGUGGGGAAUAUUGCACAAUGGGCGCAAGCCUGAUGCAGCAACGCCGCGUGCGGGAUGACGGCCUUCGGGUUGUAAACCGCUUUCAGCAGGGACGAAGCUUUUUGUGACGGUACCUGCAGAAGAAGCACCGGCUAACUACGU
rnacentral:rRNA from 1 species